rnacentral:rRNA from 1 species
UACGCGGGGUGCGAGUGUUGUACGGAAUUACUGGGCGUAAAGCGCGUGUAGGCGGCCUAUUAUGUCAGGUGUGAAAGCCCUCGGCCUAACCGAGGAAGUGCGCCUGAAACUGCUAGGCUUGAGUACGAGAGAGGAGGACGGAAUUCCCAGUGUAGAGGUGAAAUUCGUAGAUAUUGGGAGGAACACCGGCGGCGAAAGCGGUUCUCUGGAUCGAUACUGACGCUAAGACGCGAAAGCGUGGGGAGCAAACAGG